CGGGAAUAGCUCAGUCGGUAGAGCAGAGGACUGAAAAUCCUCGUGU
rnacentral:tRNA from 1 species